AAGUCUUGCCUCCUGGACCACGGGCUGCAGGGAGGCAGGAAGGCAGUGUUUAUUGUACAGAUGUGCCAAGUGGCGUCAACAGGAAGUGGAGGAAGUGACUGAAAUGACAGUGCUGGGGCGACAGGAUAGGCCCUAAUCCAGGCCCGGUUCUGACCCAGAGCUCACCACCGCUGUUUUAAAGAGCCGCCGCCGUUCGGUGUCUGCAGGGACAGGAAGCAGCUUUCAGCAUCUCCGCACCAAAAAAGACAUCAAAGCCCAAAUGUCACGCCAGAAAUGAACAAUGGCUUACAAAUGAAGAACCGCAAGGCGCGAUGUAACCGAGCAUCUGAGUUUUGGAGAAGAAAGAGUGCUGACGUUGUGGAGACUCUCAGCCAUGAAGAACAACAAACUCUGCAGAUUCUUCAUGGCCGGGGAGCACCGCGACAUUCAAACGGGGUGAAGAAAUAAUCAUAACUUCCUUUAUUUGGCCCUUCGAGGUUGAAAACCACAUGCUGUUUCUCUUGUUUGAGCAAUCCUAGAUAGAACAAAUAUGAAAUAACCCUUAAUCAAAAGUUAAAACAAAAAAUAUAUAUUGUAUUAUGUUAACUGCAUAUAACACACACACAC